UAGAUGAGUCCCGUCACAUACCAUCGUGCUUGUGAGAAUCUCCCCUUGCCAUAGUGGAGUCAUAUUAGUUUGUAGUCCAAACCAUUCAGACGCUACAGACAGAAGUUGGCACAUCGGCGGUACAGACUUCAGGCGAGUCUGGUAACACUUGUGGGGGUCGUAGAGCAAAACGAAGAACAUCGUUUGUAAGCCAAACCGUUCGGACGCUACAGCCGUUUUAGUGAGAAGACCGAUUUUCGCGAUGCCUCAUGGUCUGGUCUGACAAACAUCGCUGUAUCUCGGCCACCUUCCUCCACCGCAGAUGCAGAAAUCCGAUAUAGCCGGAUUUGGUAGAUUGAGAAGCAGUGGAAAACAGAAAGGAAAAUGCUGCACACUUUUCCAUGAGUUUGCCUACAACUCCAGCGCCUGCGGAAAGUGCUUGGACACACCCUCUUCAUUGAGUUGAAUUGAGUUCAGGAUCAACAACAGAGGAAAAGUACAACAACAUGACGACUUCAGCUCCUGAUAAGCCAGAUUGUGGGCCGAUGGUGAUUACUGUUGGAUUGUUGACGUUGGUCAUUGGAAUCGCUGUUGGAGUGAAACUGAAGGUGGCCACAGACCGUU